CUCCUAUUGCACCGCAUGCAAUGCACAGAGACUUUCUCUUGAGCAUUGAUAUGGCAGGGCGGCAAUUUGGCCUGCCAUGUUAUCUCAUAACGGAGGAGGAAAAUUUGUCUUCUUUGCCCCAUCAUACUUAGAUUUCAUGCGUUGCUUUUCAAGAAAUGAACGCUCGGUGACUUUGAGGUCCCAAUUUCACCUUAAAGGGUCCUGAUCCAGGGCAGCUAAGGCUUUGGCGAUGUUUUAGGUGAGAUUGAGAUAGAAUAAGUGGCCACUGUAAUGGACUUUGUGAUAAGACAACGAUCUAGUUAGAUUUAAAGGGAGGAUGGAAAUGAAGGAAAGAGAGAGGGAAUAGAAGGAGUAGGGACCAAGAAGGUAGAGGCAACGAUACGGUGGGCAGUGCAGAAGAGUUUGUGGAAAACUAGAGAUCUAAAACGGCAUCAUAGUUGGAAACAAUUGUCCAUACUCUAUCC
rnacentral:lncRNA from 1 species